GACGAACGCUGGCGGCGUGCCUAAUACAUGCAAGUAGAACGCUGAGGAGAGGAGCUUGCGCUGCUUGGAUGAGGUGCGAACGUGUGUGUAACGCGUAUGUAACCUGCCUGGUAUCGGGGUAUAACUAGGGGAAACGAUAGCUAAUACCGCAUAAGAUUAGGUUACACAUUUGAGUUAGUUGAAAUUGGCAAUUGCUCGACUACAACAUGGACCUGCGUUGUAUUAGCUAGUAGGUGAGGUAACGGAGCAUCUAGGCGACGAUACAUAGCAGACAUGAGAGGGUGAUCGGCCGCACUGGGACUGAGACCGGGCACAGAGGCACAGGGGAGGCAGCAGGAGGGCAUCUUCGGGAAUGGGGGCAAAAUUGACCGCGAAACGCGGCGGGCGGGAAGAAGGUUUUCGGAUCGUAAAGCUCUGUUGUCAGUCAAGAACGCGUGUGAGCGUGGAAAGUUCACACUGUGACGGUAGCUUACAAGAAAGCGACGGCUAACUACGUG
rnacentral:rRNA from 1 species